rnacentral:rRNA from 1 species
GACGAACGCUGGCGGCGUGCCUAAUACAUGCAAGUAGAACGCUGAAGGAGGAGCUUGCUCUUCUGGACGAGUUGCGAACGGGUGAGUAACGCGUAGGUAACCUGCCUGGUAGCGGGGGAUAACUAUUGGAAACGAUAGCUAAUACCGCAUAACAGUAGAUGUUGCAUGACAUUUACUUAAAAGGUGCAAUUGCAUCACUACCAGAUGGACCUGCGUUAUAUUAGCUAGUUGGUGGGGUAACGGCUCACCAAGGCGACGAUACAUAGCCGACCUGAGAGGGUGAUCGGCCACACUGGGACUGAGACACGGCCCAGACUCCUACGGGAGGCAGCAGUAGGGAAUCUUCGGCAAUGGACGGAAGUCUGACCGAGCAACGCCGCGUGAGUGAAGAAGGUUUUCGGAUCGUAAAGCUCUGUUGUAAGAGAAGAACGAGUGUGAGAGUGGAAAGUUCACACUGUGACGGUAUCUUACCAGAAAGGGACGGCUAACUACGUG